CUACGGGCGGCAGCAGUGAGGAAUAUUGGUCAAUGGGCGCGAGCCUGAACCAGCCAUCCCGCGUGCAGGAUGACGGCCCUAUGGGUUGUAAACUGCUUUUCUAUGCCAAGAAGCCUGAUUACGUGUAAUCAGUUGCCGGUAGCAUAGGAAUAAGCAUCGGCUAACUCCGUGCCAGCAGCCGCGGUAAUACGGAGGAUGCAAGCGUUAUCCGGAUUCAUUGGGUUUAAAGGGUGCGCAGGUGGGCUUGUAAGUCAGUGGUGAAAUGCUGCCGCUUAACGGUAGAACUGCCAUUGAUACUGCGAGUCUUGAGUAUGGUUGAGGUAGGCGGAAUGUGUUGUGUAGCGGUGAAAUGCAUAGAUAUGACACAGAACGCCAAUUGCGAAGGCAGCUUACUAAGCCAUUACUGACGCUGAGGCACGAAAGCGUGGGGAGCGAACAGGAUUAGAUACCCCGGUAGUC
rnacentral:rRNA from 1 species